GCUAUCCUAGUUGUUCCUUCCUCAGGCUUGCUUUUAGUUUUACAAAUCAGUGUUUUUUUCCCUCUUUCCUACAGCUGAGCAUUGCUUUUCCUCGGGAGCACUGGGGAACAAUUACAGCAAUGAGAAAAUGGUAAAAAUAACACAAACCCAGCAUAUUCCUCAUGACACUGACAGCCAGAAUGCUGCUUAGUAUGGCAGAGAGCAGAAACAUUAACAGGCUUAAUACCCAAACAGUGAACUGUGCCAAUUUGCUGCCAUCACCCCCUGCCAUCACAGUGCCACCCGUGUCACAAAGACUGGACAAUGCCCUCAUCUAAGAGCAAGAAACCAGACCUGAGAUAACAAUAGACGAAGCAGCAACAAGAGAAAGGAGACAAUGAUUCAUCAAGGAGCUGUCCCUGUCAUCUGGGUGACUCUCAGUUGAAUCAGAGCCUCUGCACCACGCCUAAUGGACCUGAGCUGACUGGUAACCACAGAGGACUUGCUUCUUCAGCUCCAUUUCCUCGCCCAUCCAUGCCUGCACACGUACAUUUUCUGAAUGGAGGAAAAAGCUGAACUGAUAUUUAAAAGUCAGCCACUAGCCCAUCAUCACCAUAAAUUAGCUACUACCUACAGGAGCCAUCUGAAGGGAUCUGUUUUUCAUAGCCAUUGUGAGUACGUGCGGAGCACAAGGGAGAGAAAAGAGGAAAUGGAAAUCACGACGCUGGUAAAGUGAACUGAGCUGAUAAUCCCUUGUUUCAUGAUAACUUUAGGAAGAAGGGACUAGUUCCCCUAUUCACAUCAGCGUAAGUUCAGAACCACUCCACUGCCUCAGGA
rnacentral:lncRNA from 1 species